UAGGGAAUCUUCCACAAUGGACGCAAGUCUGAUGGAGCAACGCCGCGUGAGUGAAGAAGGUUUUCGGAUCGUAAAGCUCUGUUGUUGGUGAAGAAGGAUAGAGGCAGUAACUGGUCUUUAUUUGACGGUAAUCAACCAGAAAGUCACGGCUAACUACGUGCCAGCAGCCGCGGUAAUACGUAGGUGGCAGGCGUUGUCCGGAUGUAUUGAGCGUAAAGCGAGCGCAGGCGGAAUGAUAAGUCUGAUGUGAAAGCCCACGGCUCAACCGGGGAACUGCAUCGGAAACUGUCAUUCUUGAGUGCAGAAGAGGAGAGUGGAAUUCCAUGUGUAGCGGUGGAAUGCGUAGAUAUAUGGAAGAACACCAGUGGCGAAGGCGGCUCUCUGGUCUGCAACUGACGCUGAGGCUCGAAAGCAUGGGUAGCGAACAGG
rnacentral:rRNA from 1 species